rnacentral:rRNA from 1 species
CCUACGGGAGGCAGCAGUGAGGAAUAUUGGUCAAUGGACGCAAGUCUGAACCAGCCAUGCCGCGUGCAGGAAGACGGCUCUAUGAGUUGUAAACUGCUUUUGUACGAGGGUAAACGCAGAUACGCGUAUCUGACUGAAAGUAUCGUAAGAAUAAGGAUCGGCUAACUACGUGCCAGCAGCAGCGGUAAUACGGAGGAUUCAAGCGUUAUCCGGAUUUAUUGGGUUUAAAGGGUGCGUAGGCGGUCGGAUAAGUUAGAGGUGAAAUCCCGAGGCUCAACUUCGGAAUUGCCUCUGAGACUGUUCGGCUAGAGAGUAGUUGCGGUAGGCGGAAUGUAUGGUGUAGCGGUGAAAUGCUUAGAGAUCAUACAGAACACCGAUUGCGAAGGCAGCUUACCAAGCUACUUCUGACGUUGAGGCACGAAAGCGUGGGGAGCAAACAGGAUUAGAUACCCGAGUAGUC